GACGAACGCUGGCGGCGUGCUUAACACAUGCAAGUCGAACGAUGAAGCCGGAGCUUGCUCUGGUGAAUUAGUGGCGAACGGGUGAGUAACACGUGAGUAACCUGCCCUUGACUCUGGGAUAACUGCUAGAAAUGGUAGCUAAUGCCGGAUACGACCCUCGGAGGCAUCUUCAGGGGGUGGAAAGAAUUUCGGUCAAGGAUGGACUCGCGGCCUAUCAGCUAGUUGGUGAAGUAAUGGCUCACCAAGGCGACGACGGGUCGCCGGCCUGAGAGGGUGACCGGCCACACUGGGACUGAGACACGGCCCAGACUCCUACGGGAGGCAGCAGUGGGGAAUAUUGCACAAUGGGCGCAAGCCUGAUGCAGCAACGCCGCGUGAGGGAUGACGGCCUUCGGGUUGUAAACCUCUUUUAGUAGGGAAGAAGCGAAAGUGACGGUACCUGCAGAAAAAGCACCGGCUAACUACGUGCCAGCAGCCGCCGUAA
rnacentral:rRNA from 1 species